CGCUGCUGUUUAAAAUCCAAAUCAGGGUAGUCCCCGGAAGGCUUAACGGGAGCUUGGAUUUAGAACAGUUGAUCUCCAUUGAAACGGAAACUUGGAAGGUCUCCUAGUCGAUUGACAAUGGCUGGAAACAGGGCCUAAGAUGUAGAAGUGAAUUACAGCUUGCAGGCGGCGGGUGGAGAGGAGGAAACAGCUGCCUGCAAUGAAUGCUAACAGCGCUGUUAGCUGGCACGAAGGGAACUGAGGUUCCAGAGAUUCCAAAGAUUGUUUCUCUGGUUUGUUGUGGGCCAUUCAAUUGACCAGCGGUUAUUUUUGUUUCUCUCCCUAACCCAGGCUUGAAAUUGAAACAGGAGUUACCCUAGAGGCCCUUAGUCAGCCUGCCGAAGAAGACCUUGCAGUCAAACCGCAGCUCGUUUCUGCUGGAGCAGAUGCAAACUGGAGCUGAUGUGGUCAUUGGGGUUUGUUGCACCCCACAAGCUCACCCCCCGUGAGAGGCAUGUGCAGGACCGAAGGGCUGGUACCCAAAGAAAACGCUGGAAGAUUGCUGAGCUGACCUAUCAGGUGUAGUCUCUCCUAGGACUUGAGAACACACAGCUUGCUUUGCUUGGACAUUACAGAAAGCUAUUGGGCCGGGCUCAGGGCUACAGCCACUACAAAACCCACGGGACUAUGGCAUCCACUGUCUGUUCUUUGCUGUGUUCACUCCCAUCACCAAGGGAAAACACGGUUAUCCUCCUUCUCUACCACUGUUUCUGCCCCAAACAAUCCUCUCCUAGUAGGCCAAACUCCCCAGACUUGCCAGAGGAAGGGAAAAUCUCUUCUGUAUGCACAGAAUUUUCUAAUUAGACCACUCUGCCCUGCCUUGUCCCAGACCUCUCUGCUAAUUGCUGAGAGUUUUCAGUUCCUUGUACUUGGGAGAGUUCAUUUCUUUCAGUACUUGCUGGUGGCAGAAACUGGCCACAGCUCCUAUUCAGGGACUACAUCUCCCACUGAGAUCUUUGUGGACUCUGUUUCUUUAGGGUGCAGGGAUGGAGAGCCUGUAUUGAUUGAAUUGUUUCAUCCCCCCAAGAUAUGUGCUGAAUUCCUGGCCCUGGUACUUGUGGAUGUAAUUGUAUGUGGAAACAGGGAUUUUCUUUUGUUAUGUUAAUGAGGGUGGUAGUAGGGGAAAUACUAAACCUAAUUGCUUCUGAGUUGUAAAAAGACCAGAAUGGACACAGGCACACAUAUCGGGGAAGACAGACACCAAGCUCUUCUCGUCUACAGAUUAAGGAGCAAAGGAACACCGGGGCUACCAACAAGGAAGGAAUUGACAGGGCUGAGACCCUGAUUUGGACUUUUAGCCUCCAGAACUGUGAGAAAAUAAAUUUCUGUUCGUUAAAGCUACCCAUUUGUGGUAUUUGUAUUACAGCAGCACUAGACGACUAAGACAGCCACUGGCUUUUUGGUAGGAAGCGAGAAGCUUCCAGGUUGAGUACAACCUGAAAUGGUUUUCCCCUCUGCACAGAAACCAUUGAUAUUUCCUGUUCUGCAAUGACAAACACCCCGCCUUGUGGCUGCCAGAUAUGGGUUUGGUUGUUUAACACCUUCAGGCUUACUGGGGAGGUGGGUGGGGAGGAGUGGGGGUGGGGAUUUACCCUUUCACAAAGGCUCCGUCUACAGAAUGCUGCCUACAAAACCCUUCUUGCCUCUGUCGCCUUGGAGUACAGAGCUGCCACUCUCCCUCUUUGCGGAACCCUGUCUAUGCUCUGCACCACCUCAGUUUCCCCAUGUAUGAACCUAGAAUAACAUUAGUACCUACCUCACAGGGUUUUUGUGAUGAUUAAACGAGUUCAUUAAUGUUAAGUGCUUAGAACAGUGCUUGGAACGUAGCAAAGGUUGAAUAAAGAUUGGUUUUUAAUAUCAUAUUGCUUGGGGGUGGGAUGAGAGGAUUGAUGAAAAUUCUGGGGAAGACUCUAGCUUGUCCAAAGCUCUCAUCACUUUCUUUUGUUCUCAAUUUUAAAUGAAAGUCUGUCCCAGAGGACAUCUCUGCUACUUUCCCUAUCUCCCACUCCUCCAGACUCUGGGUAAGGUGCUCUGCCUCUAUGCUCCCUAGAGCCCUGUACUCAUAGAUAAGUGUAGGAUAAAAUCCCUGUGUAUUUUUCUGUGUCCCUCCCUAGAUGAUAAGCCUAAUGUGAAAGCCAGGAGGGAUACGUCUUAUUCAUUGCCACAUACCCAGCACUUAGUACAAAGCCUAGCACAUUGUGGACCCCCAAUAGUUGCUGAGCCUGGUUAUGAAGAUACAAUUCCAGUGGUACAACCAAUGUCUGGAGGGCAUGGGAAACCCCUUCAUAAUUCAGGUAAGAGUCACUGUAAGUAUUUCCCAUGGAGGGUAGCAGAGUCCCAAAGAAGAGGCCAGAGCACCAUCGUGGGAAAUCAAGAGUGGAAGGUGCUGAAGAAGCAGGUGAGUGGGCAGUCAUUUGGAAGUUCUGUCCUCAGAGAUCAGUGUCCCAGGCACUGGCCUGGGGUCUAGGGCCAGGAUUCUUUUCAGGAAAGGGACUAUGAAGAGCAGGAGAGAAUAGCAGGCCCCCAGCCUAGACCUGGUCCUGGGAAAAGCUGGCCACCAGGCUGCACAGGAGCCCACUGGUUGCCACUGGGGGCACUGGUCCUGGCUGAAACUGGGAACAGAAAUGGGUCCAUAUGUUCUCAGACAUUAUGCUCAGGGGCCUGGAGGGGCCUGGAGGGAGACUGUAUUAUACUAUGUCAGUUAAAUCCUCCAGUUUCCUGCCUCAGAAUGGUCUCUAGUGCUUGAUAAAAAUCAGAUUCCUAGGUCCCAUCUUGGACUUACAGAAAUAAAAAUAUCUGGAGGUUAGGUCUCAGGUCUGAGAAUCUUAAGUGGGUUAACAAUGGGUUCAUAUGCAAGCUGCUGAGGCAGGCAGAACCAGGGGAAAUGAGGUGGAUUGACAUUGGAAUCAGCCUGAAAACUCCCUGUCUUUGGACUAAUUCUCAUCAAGUAGAAGAGCUGUUUGGGGAGUAGUAGAAAUGGGGUGGACUCUCUAAUCUGAAAGUCUAAAAUUGCUGAGGAAGGGCAUCUGGGCUUCUUCUGACAUUCCCUCAGUACUCUUAAGAUAAAGAGAUUUCAACAUUUCAGAGAAUGAAAAAGAGAAACACACAGGUAUAAUCUAAAGACCCAAUCAUGAGGGACAGGUGACUUUCAGAAAGAAAAUUCUGAUAACCCAAGUGAAAGCGGUCCUGAAUAAAGGAGUUAUUGAGACUGCCAAGAGAGCUCUUUGUUGAGCUCUUAAAGGGUUAUGCUGAACUAUUGGUGGGAGGGGGUAUGUAAUCAACAAGGAAUAAAGUCUACAAAAAGAAGAGUGAAAUGAAUCAUAAAAUUUCUAAGGGCAAGAAGAUGGGCUUUGUUAGACAAGUGUAGAGCAAGAGAACAAAUGAGGAAGAAUCACCACAUGAGGCAGAAGAUAUAUAUAUAUACACAUAUGGCAGUCCAUAGUGUAUUCAAUAUUCUUCACAAACGCCAUAGUUCAAAGGCCUUCAGUAUGGAUUACACCUCAACAUAAAGAAAGCAAAAGCCCUCACAACUGGACCAAUAAGCAAUGUCAUGAUAAACGGAGAAAAGAUUGAAGUUGCCAAGGAUUUCAUUUCACUUGGAUCCACAAUCAAGACUGGCUUUUAAAUACAUUGACCCAGAAGUGAUGUCACCUGCAUUCAUAGCCAUUGGCCAGAGGAAGUCACAUGACCCCAAUCCAGUUGCAAGGGAGGCUGGGAAAAGUAAGGAAGUACGUGGAAUAUUUCAUGACAACUACCUUUGCCACAAUGUGCUUAUUGAGUCUAUGUAUGUCAUAAAGCAUGAAUGGUUAGUUAAUAUGUUCGAUAGGAGAAUUUAAAUUAAAAAAAUAUCUCAUGGUGGAAGGGUAUACCUAAACCAACAAAUAGAUAUUUAAGAGGAUUAAAUAUAAAGUUCUAAGUUAAAAAUGAACCAUCCUGUUAGGGGGCACUGAGUUUCUCCUAGGAGUACCUGGGUGGUAAAAGUGGUUAAGCACUUGACUACUUACCAAAAGGUUGGUGCUUUGAAUGUGCCCAGAGGCACCUCAGAAGACAGACUUGGCAAUUUGCUUCUGAAAGGUCACAGCCUUGAAAGCUCAGUCAAGCACAAUCCUACUCUGCCACACAUGCGCUCACCAUGAGUCAUAAUAGACUCAACAGCAACUGGUUUGAUUUUUUUUUUUUUUUUUAAUUUUCUGUUAAUGGUGGUGGAAUAAUUUGGAAGUGGUUAGUAGGGAUGACUGCAAAACAUGAUAAAUGUAACCAAUGUCACUAUAUCAUACAUGUGAAAAAUGUUGAUUGGCAAAUGUUAAGUUAUAUAUGUUUUUUCCGUAAUAAGACAAUUUUUAGAAUGAGCUGUUCUAGUACAAGGUAAAAAAAAAAAUCUUGCUUGACACAUUGCAAGUAAAAAGAAUCAAAGCUAAAUGAUUUUAGUUAAACAUAUGUUCACUAUGAAUUAUUAGGGCCUGCCGAAGCUCAGCAUUAAUGUAUACAUAGAAUUUAGAAUAAAGUAGAUAACAACACCUCUGUUCUCUGGGCUGGUUGCACCAUAUCUACUAGUGGGUUUGGAAUCACGGCUGCUUUUUUUUUUUUCUUUUCUUCAAUUUUGCCUCUUUUUUUCUAAUUAUUGUAUUAUUUUUUUUAUUGCGCUUUAGGUGAAAGUUUACAGAGCAAACCAUUUUCUCACUAAACAAUUAAUACACAUAUUGUUUUGUGACAUUGCUUGCCAAACCCGUGUUAUGUCAACACUCUCCUCAACCUCUGGUUCCCCAUUUCCGUUCAUCCAGCUUUCCUGUCCCUUCUCACCUUCUCCUCUUUGCCUUUGAGCUGGUGUGCCCAUUUAGUCUCAAAUGCAUGGUUGAACUAUUCCUGUUAUUGUUUGUUUUAUAGGCCUGUCUAAUCUUUGGCUGAAGGGUGAACUUCAGGAUUGACUUCGGCACAGAGUUAAAAGGGUGUCUGUUCGAGGGCCAUACUCUGGGAGAUGCUCCAGUCUCUGUGAAACCAGUAGGGCGUCUUUUUUGGAUCAGAGUUCGCUCUCCACUCUACACCCUCUGUCACCUGACCUACGGAUCUUGGGAUGCAAGCCUGCAGGAGUCUCCAUCCACUGCCUGACCUACAGAUUUUCAGACUCGUCAGCCCCUCUACACUUCCAUCAGCCAGCAGGUAUCCACAGCGUGUCACCUGACCUAUGGAUUUUGGACUUGUGAGCACUCACAGUCGAGUGAGCAAAUCCCUUAAUGUAAAUCUCUCUUUCUCUCUCUUGCUCUUUCUCUACAUGUCUCACUGAUUCUGUUUCUCUUGAAAAUUGAACAAUACACCGUCCAAGCUUCUUCACCAGAUUUCUUUCCUCACCUCACUUAACCUGUGGCAAUCUGGCUUACAUAACUACCUCCCCACUUUUCAGUCUUAUCUUCAUGUCUCUGCAGCUUUGCCUCUGUUUAUAACUCCCCCCCCCCUUUUCAGUGUCCAUAAAUAGUUUUAUUGGAACACAGCCACGCUCACUGGUACAUGUUGUCUAUGACUGCUCUUGCACUAACCCUAACCCUAACCCUAACCCUAACCCUAACCCUAACCCUAACCCUAACCCUAACCCUAACUCUAACCCUAACCCUAACCCUAACCCUAACCCUAACCCUAACCCUAACCCUAACCCUAACC